rnacentral:rRNA from 1 species
UUUGAACGCUGGCGGCAUGGCUAAAACAUGCAAAUCGAGCGCGAAAGAGGGGCAACCCUCAAGUAGAGCGGCGAAAGGGUGAGUAAUACGUUCCUACGUGCCUCAAGGUCAGGGAUAGCCAGGGGAAACUCUGGGUAAUACCUGAUGAGGUCGCGAGAUCAAAGGCUUGCCGACUUGAGAGCGGGGAACGUCCUAUCAGGUAGUUGGUGAGGUAACGGCUCACCAAGCCAAUGACGGGUAGCGGGUGUGAGAGCAUGGCCCGCCACAUCGAAACUGAGACACUGUUCGGACUCCUACGGGAGGCUGCAGUAACGAAUCUUCCGCAAUGCGCGAAAGCGUGACGGAGCAAAGCCGCGUGCAGGAUGAAGCCCUUCGGGGUGUAAACUGCUGUCAGGGUUUAGGAAGCAAGUGACCAAACCCAAAGGAAGAGACGACUAACUCUGUGCCAGCAGUCGCGGUAAUACAGAGGUCUCGAGCGUUAGACGGAGUCACUGGGUACG